UACGGAGGGUGCAAGCGUUAUCCGGAAUGAUUGGGCGUAAAGCGUCCGCAGGUGGCUAUGUAAGUCUGCUGUUAAAGAGUGAGGCUCAACCUCAUAAAGGCAGUGGAAACUACACGGCUAGAGUGCGUUCGGGGCAGAGGGAAUUCCUGGUGUAGCGGUGAAAUGCGUAGAGAUCAGGAAGAACACCGGUGGCGAAAGCGCUCUGCUAGGCCGCAACUGACACUGAGGGACGAAAGCUGGGGGAGCGAGUGGG
rnacentral:rRNA from 1 species